rnacentral:rRNA from 1 species
GAAAGUAAGCAAGGGCAGACGGUGGAUGCCUUGGCUCUCGGAGGCGACGAAGGACGUGAUAAGCUGCGAAAAGCUCGGGGGAGGCGCAAAUAGCCGUUGAUCCCGGGAUAUCCGAAUGGGGCAACCCGGCAGGCUGAAGGCCUGUCAUCCCGUAAGGGAGGCGAACGUGGGGAACUGAAACAUCUAAGUACCCAUAGGAGGAGAAAAUAAACAAUGAUUCCGUAAGUAGUGGCGAGCGAACACGGAAGAGCCCAAACCCAUGUCGUCUAGGCGACACGGGGGUUGUAGGACCACGACGUGGCAAGAUAGAGUCAAGUGGAACGCCUUGGAAAAGGCGGUCAUAGAGGGUGAAAACCCCGUACACGACUGACGAUUGAAGCCUAGUGGUAUCCUGAGUAGCGCGGGGCACGAGAAAUCUUGCGUGAAACAGCGGGGCCCAUCCCGUAAGGCUAAAUACUCCCGAGAGACCGAUAGCGAACCAGUACCGUGAGGGAAAGGUGAAAAGAACCCCGAGCAGGGGAGUGAAAUAGACCCUGAACCCGUCUGCCUACAAGCGGUCGGAGCAUAGCAAUAUGUGACGGCGUGCCUUUUGCAUAAUGAACCUACGAGUUACCUUCCCCGGCAAGGUUAAGUACCUAAGGUACGGAGCCGAAGCGAAAGCGAGUCUGAAGAGGGCGGCCAGUCGGGGGGGGUAGACGCGAAACCGAGUGAUCUACCCUUGGCCAGGUUGAAGGUUGGGUAACACCAACUGGAGGACCGGAUGGGUAAGCGUUGAAAAGCUUUCCAAUGAGCUGAGGGUAGGGGUGAAAGGCUAAUCAAACUCGGAGAUAGCUCGUACUCCCCGAAAUGCAUUUAGGUGCAGCCUCUUUAUAGUAUAUCGUGAGGUAGAGCGACUGAUUGGAUGCGAGGGCUUCACCGCCUAUCAAGUCCAGAUAAACUCCGAAUGCGCGAUAUAUAUUUAAAGGGAGUGAGGGCGCGGGUGCUAAGGUCCGUGUCCGAGAGGAGAAGAAUCCAGACCACCGGCUAAGGCCCCCAAAUGAUCGUUGAGUUGAACUAACGAGGUCGGAUCGCAGAGACAGCUAGGAUGUUGGCUUGGAAGCAGCCAUUCAUUUAAAGAGUGCGUAACAGCUCACUAGUCGAGCGAUCUGGCGUGGAUAAUAAUCGGGCAUAAACGAUCUGCCGAAGCCGUGGAUGUCGUAAGACAUGGUAGGGGAGCAUUCCAUGCGGCGUCGAAGAUGAGGGACGACCCUUGUUGGAGCGCAUGGAAAAGCAAAUGUAGGUAUGAGUAACGAUAAGGGGGGCGAGAAACCCCCCCGCCGAAAGACCAAGGUUUCCUGAUCAACGCUAAUCGGAUCAGGGUGAGUCGGGACCUAAGGCAAAGCCGAACGGCGACGCCGAUGGAAGAAUGGGUUAAUAUUCCCAUACUGCCUCAUGGAGUGACGUGGAGACGGAGAAGUGACAGUCCUGCCGGCUGACGGAAUAGCCGGUUGAAGGGUGUAGAUAUUGAUUCCCGUAGGCAAAUCCGCGGGGAGAGUCGAACCUGACAGUAUACCGAGUACUUGUACGAGGUAAUAUGGACGUAACCAUGCUCCCAAGAAAAUCCGCUAAACUUAUCCAUGCGGCACCCGUACCGUAAACGGACACACGUGGUCGGGUUGAGAAUACUGAGGCGCUCGAGUGAUUCACGGUUAAGGAACUAGGCAAAUUGACCCUGUAACUUCGGGAUAAAGGGUCCCAACGAGAGUUGGGCGCAGAGAAUAGGUCCAGGCAACUGUUUAACAAAAACACAGGGCUGUGCUAAAUUGAAAGAUUACGUAUACAGCCUGACACCUGCCCGGUGCUGGAAGGUUAAGAGGAGAUGUCAUCGCAAGAGAAGCGUUGAAUUGAAGCCCCAGUAAACGGCGGCCGUAACUAUAACGGUCCUAAGGUAGCGAAAUUCCUUGUCGGGUAAGUUCCGACCUGCACGAAUGGUGUAAUGAUCUGGACACUGUCUCAACCGUGAGCUCAGUGAAAUUGUAGUAUCGGUGAAGAUGCCGAUUACCCGCGAUGGGACGAAAAGACCCCGUGAACCUUUACUAUAGCUUUACAUUGAAUUUGGGCAGACGAUGUGUAGGAUAGGCCGGAGGCUUUGAAGGGGGUACGCCAGUAUCCUUGGAGCCGCCGUUGAAAUACGGCCCUUCGGUUGUUUGAGUUCUAACUCCUAGGCAGGAGGACACUGUAUGGUGGGUAGUUUGACUGGGGUGGUCGCCUCCAAAAGCGUAACGGAGGCUUCUAAAGGUGCCCUCAGACCGAUUGGUAACCGGUCGCAGAGUGUAAUGGCAUAAGGGCGCUUGACUGGGAGAGAUACAACUCGAUCAGGUAGGAAACUAGAGCAUAGUGAUCCGGUGGUUCCGCAUGGAAGGGCCAUCGCUCAAAGGAUAAAAGGUACUCCGGGGAUAACAGGCUGAUCAUUCCCAAGAGCUCAUAUCGACGGAAUGGUUUGGCACCUCGAUGUCGGCUCGUCACAUCCUGGGGCUGGAGAAGGUCCCAAGGGUUGGGCUGUUCGCCCAUUAAAGUGGCACGCGAGCUGGGUUCAGAACGUCGUGAGACAGUUCGGUCUCUAUCUAUCGUGGGCGCAGGAGAUUUGAGGGGCUCUGACACUAGUACGAGAGGACCGUGUUGGACGUACCACUGGUUUACCGGUUGUCCCGCCAGGGGCACCGCCGGGUAUCUAAGUACGGAUCGGAUAAGUGCUGAAAGCAUCUAAGUACGAAGCCGGCCUCAAGAUUAGAUCUCCCUGAAGGGUGGUUAUAGACGAUGACCUUGAUAGGCCACAGGUGUAAGGGCGGCGACGUCCGAGCCGAGUGGUACUAAUUGCCCGGGACUUUCCUCA